rnacentral:rRNA from 1 species
AACUUUUAACAAUGGAUCUCUAGGCUCUCAUAUCGAUGAAGAACACAGUGAAAUGUGAUAAGUAAUGUGAAUUGCGGAAUUCAGUGAAUCAUUGAAUCUUUGAACGCACCUUGCACCUUUUGGUAUUCCAAAAGGUACACCUGUUUGAGUGUCAU